CAGUAGCCGCGGUAAUACGAAGGGGGCUAGCGUUGCUCGGAAUGACUGGGCGUAAAGGGCGCGUAGGCGGCGGCCAAAGUCAGGCGUGAAAUUCCCGGGUUCAACCUGGGGGCUGCGUUUGAUACUUGGUUGCUUGAGUGGGGAAGAGGGUCGUGGAAUUCCCAGUGUAGAGGUGAAAUUCGUAGAUAUUGGGAAGAACACCGGUGGCGAAGGCGGCGACCUGGUCCUUUACUGACGCUGAGGCGCGAAAGCGUGGGGAGCAAACAGGAUUAGAUACCCCAGUAGUCCCUGUCUCUUAUAC
rnacentral:rRNA from 1 species